AUUGAACGCUGGCGGCAUGCUUUACACAUGCAAGUCGAACGGUAACAGGCCUUCGGGUGCUGACGAGUGGCGAACGGGUGAGUAAUGCAUCGGAACGUGCCCAGAGGUGGGGGAUAACGCAGCGAAAGCUGUGCUAAUACCGCAUGUGAUCUGAGGAUGAAAGCGGGGGACCAGGCAGCAAUGUUUGGCCUCUCGCCUUUGGAGCGGCCGAUGUCAGAUUAGGUAGUUGGUGGGGUAAAGGCCUACCAAGCCGACGAUCUGUAGCUGGUCUGAGAGGACGACCAGCCACACUGGGACUGAGACACGGCCCAGACUCCUACGGGAGGCAGCAGUGGGGAAUUUUGGACAAUGGGCGCAAGCCUGAUCCAGCAAUGCCGCGUGCGGGAAGAAGGCCUUCGGGUUGUAAAACGCUUUUGUACGGAAAGAAAAGGCUCUGGCUAAUACCUGGGGCUGAUGACGGUACCGUAAGAAUAAGCACCGGCUAACUACGUG
rnacentral:rRNA from 1 species